rnacentral:rRNA from 1 species
UAGAGUUUGAUCAUGGCUCAGGAUGAACGCUAGCGGCAGGCUUAACACAUGCAAGUCGAGGGGUAACAGAGGAAAGCUUGCUUUCUUGCUGACGACCGGCGCACGGGUGCGUAACGCGUAUGCAACCUACCUUCUACAGGGGGAUAGCCCAGAGAAAUUUGGAAUAAUACCCCAUACGAUCAAUGAUUGGCAUCGAUUAUUGAAGAAAACUCCGGUGGUAGAAGAUGGGCAUGCGUCCUAUUAGUUAGUUGGUGAGGUAACGGCUCACCAAGACAUCGAUAGGUAGGGGCCCUGAGAGGGGGAUCCCCCACACUGGUACUGAGACACGGACCAGACUCCUACGGGAGGCAGCAGUGAGGAAUAUUGGACAAUGGAGGCAACUCUGAUCCAGCCAUGCCGCGUGCAGGAAGACUGCCCUAUGGGUUGUAAACUGCUUUUAUACAGGAAGAAACCUACUUACGUGUAAGUAGCUGACGGUACUGUAAGAAUAAGGAUCGGCUAACUCCGUGCCAGCAGCCGCGGUAAUACGGAGGAUCCAAGCGUUAUCCGGAAUCAUUGGGUUUAAAGGGUCCGUAGGUGGUUAAUUAAGUCAGAGGUGAAAGCCAGCAGCUCAACUGUUGAACUGCCUUUGAUACUGAUUAACUUGAGUUAUUGUGAAGUAGUUAGAAUAUGUAGUGUAGCGGUGAAAUGC